UACGGAAGGCAGCAGUGGGGAAUAUUGCACAAUGGGCGCAAGCCUGAUGCAGCCAUGCCGCGUGUAUGAAGAAGGCCUUCGGGUUGUAAAGUACUUUCAGUCGUGAGGAAGGUGUUAAGGUUAAUAACCUUAGCAAUUGACGUUAGCGACAGAAGAAGCACCGGCUAACUCCGUGCCAGCAGCCGCGGUAAUACGGAGGGUGCGAGCGUUAAUCGGAAUUACUGGGCGUAAAGGGCACGCAGGCGGUUAAUUAAGUUGGAUGUGAAAUCCCCGGGCUUAACCUGGGAAUGGCAUUCAAGACUGGUUAGCUAGAGUCUUGUAGAGGGGGUAGAAUUCCAUGUGUAGCGGUGAAAUGCGUAGAGAUGUGGAGGAAUACCGGUGGCGAAGGCGGCCCCUGGGACAAAGGACUGACGCUCGAUGUGCGAAAGCGUGGGGAGCAAAC
rnacentral:rRNA from 1 species